AGAGUUUGAUUCUGGCUCAGGACGAACGCUGGCGGCGUGCUUAACACAUGCAAGUCGAACGGGAGUAUUGAAGAAGCUUGCUUUAGAGAUACUUUAGUGGCGGACGGGUGAGUAACGCGUGAGGAGCUGUCCUAUGCAGGGGGACAACAGCUGGAAACGGCUGCUAAUACCCCAUAAGCCGAGAGGUAAAAGGAUCAAUCCGGCAGAGGAGGUACUCGCGUCCUAUCAGCUAGUAGGUGAGGUAACGGCUCACCUAGGCGAAGACGGGUAGCCGGCCUGAGAGGGCGAACGGCCACACUGGAACUGAGAUACGGUCCAGACUCCUACGGGAGGCAGCAGUGGGGAAUAUUGGGCAAUGGGGGAAACCCUGACCCAGCGACGCCGCGUGGGUGAAGAAAUCCUUCGGGAUGUAAAGCCCUGUUGUAUGGGAAGAGCGGAAGACGGUACCAUACGAGGAAGCCCCGGCAAACUACGUGCCAGCCGCUGC
rnacentral:rRNA from 1 species